UGCGGUUUAAUCGGACUCAACGCCGGAAAUCUCACCGAAUAAGACAGCUGCAUGAUAGUCGGGAUGAAGACUCUACUUGACUAGCUGAGAGGAGGUGCAUGGCCGUCGUCAGUUCGUACUGUGAAGCAUCCUGUUUAGUCAGGCAACGAGCGAGACCCGCGCGAGCAGUUGCCAGCUUGACCUUCGGGUUGAUGGGGACACUGCUCGGACCGCCUCUGCUAAAGGGGAGGAAGGAAUGGGCAACGGUAGGUCAGCAUGCCCCGAAUUAUCCGGGCUACACGCGGGCUACAAUGGACAGGACAAUGGGUUUCGACACCGAGAGGUGAGGAUAAUCUCCUAAACCUGUCCGAAGUUCGGAUUGCGGGUUGUAACUCACCCGCAUGAAGCUGGAAUCCGUAGUAAUCGCGUUUCAACAUAGCGCGGUGAAUAUGUCCCUGCUCCUUGCACACACCGCCCGUCAAACCACCCGAGUGAGGUCUUGAUGAGGAUGUAUCAUUGAUAUGUUCGAAUCUGGGUUUUGCAAGGGGGGUUAAGUCGUAACAAGGUAGCCG
rnacentral:rRNA from 1 species